GAUGAAGAACGCAGCGAAAUGCGAUAAGCAGUGUGAAUUGCAGAAUUCCGUGAAUCAUCGAAUCUUUGAACGCACAUUGCGCCUUCUGGUAUUCCGGAAGGCAUGCCUGUUCGAGAGUCAUUAACAACCGUUUCGAUCCCUUUCUUUCAGAAAUUACAAAGAGGAAAAGGGUUUGGUUAUGGUGGAGGAGGGAAAGGGAGCGUUUAGCCUGUAAAAAAAGAGGCUGUGUUCCGCCUCCCCCCCAAAAUUGUACAGGCGGUCGUGUGCGCCCACGCAUCGAGGUGUUGUAAAAGCUGCCACGGCACUUUUCACCUGUGCAGUGCGAGAUUGGCCAGCCGGUUUAAAAACCCCUCCAAACAAUCAAAGGUUGACCUCGGAUCAGGUAGGGAUACCCGCUGAACUUAAGCAUAUCAAUAAGCGGAGGA
rnacentral:misc_RNA from 1 species